UGACCUAAAUUGCAGAGCAUCUUUAAUUUUUAUAGCUGGCAGGGUAAGAGGGAACUGCAUUCUGUGUGUGUUGACCCCUGUGAUUUCCCAGAUGUAGGAAUUACCUGUGUAAUUUGUGGUAGUAGAAGACUUCAUUCAUGUUCUCUCCCC
rnacentral:snRNA from 14 species